UGUGUCGCUGAUGAUAUGUUGGCUCCCUCUACUGAGUUUGGUGAGGAAAAUGGCCACUGUUACCCAAUUUCUGUCUGAGACGUG